rnacentral:tRNA from 1 species
UCCUUGGUGGCUCAGACGGUAAAGAAUCUGCCUGCAGUGCAGGAGACCCAGGUUCAAUCCCUGGGCUCGGAA